GUAUACACAGAGCUCAUAUGGUUAGAGCAUGGUGCUGAUAAUGCCAAGAUCAUGGGAUUGAUCCCCAUAUGGGUACA